CAUGAGUUGAAAAUAUCCUAAGUUGAAAGUGCAUUUACAACUUAGGAUAUUUUCAACUCACGAU
ensembl:miRNA